ACCACAAACUCAGGAAGUGCUGAGUGAGGAGGAAAACUUCAUCUCUGCUCCCUGAGUUGGUCUCCACACAUUUUACAAGUUUUACAAAGCAUUUAGCAUUUACCCCCCUCAAACCCGCACACGGCCACAACCGGGGGUUGUUGCAACAUCAUUUAUUGCUGGAUGCAUCUGCAGCUGGAGACAGAGCAACACUGCCUCCCUGUGGACGCUCAGAGAACUGCACCGAGGCUGUAACAUUCAAGUUGACCAGUCACAAUAUUAAUACUAGAGAUACCUGGGCCUUUAAAAACAUGACAUACCACCUGGAGGGGUGAACACUACAAAACAUUCUGGCAGUUGGAAACUUAUAGUUUACAUGAGGACUUUGAUAUUAAGCCUUUCUUGUUGGCAUAUCUUAUUAUUAUCUAUCAAUCAUAUUAUUAUAGCCUGCGCAUUCAUUUCUAGUGCCUCUUAAACAGAUAUAUUAUAUAUAUAUGUUUUUCUUUUUUGCAACAAGUCUUAUUCCUCCAAUGAGAAACAUGCUAGAGUGAUGACACUCAUACUGCACAUGCUCAGUUAGACCCCCCCCUCCACCAGGAAAACAGACGACACACUCAACAUUA